AUUGAACGCUGGCGGCAUGCUUUACACAUGCAAGUCGAACGGCAGCGCGGGCUUCGGCCUGGCGGCGAGUGGCGAACGGGUGAGUAAUGCAUCGGAACGUGCCCAGUAGUGGGGGAUAGCCCGGCGAAAGCCGGAUUAAUACCGCAUACGACCUGAGGGUGAAAGCGGGGGACCGAAAGGCCUCGCGCUAUUGGAGCGGCCGAUGUCGGAUUAGCUAGUUGGUGGGGUAAAGGCUUACCAAGGCGACGAUCCGUAGCUGGUCUGAGACGACGACCAGCCACACUGGGACUGAGACACGGCCCAGACUCCUACGGGAGGCAGCAGUGGGGAAUUUUGGACAAUGGGGGCAACCCUGAUCCAGCCAUGCCGCGUGCGGGAAGAAGGCCUUCGGGUUGUAAACCGCUUUUGUUCGGGAAGAAAUCCUCUGGGCUAAUACCCCGGGGGGAUGACGGUACCGGAAGAAUAAGCACCGGCUAACUACGUG
rnacentral:rRNA from 1 species